ACAGACGAGGAGCUUGCUCCUCUGACGUUAGCGGCGGACGGGUGAGUAACACGUGGAUAACCUACCUAUAAGACUGGGAUAACUUCGGGAAACCGGAGCUAAUACCGGAUAAUAUAUUGAACCGCAUGGUUCAAUAGUGAAAGACGGUUUUGCUGUCACUUAUAGAUGGAUCCGCGCCGCAUUAGCUAGUUGGUAAGGUAACGGCUUACCAAGGCAACGAUGCGUAGCCGACCUGAGAGGGUGAUCGGCCACACUGGAACUGAGACACGGUCCAGACUCCUACGGGAGGCGGCAGUAGGGAAUCUUCCGCAAUGGGCGAAAGCCUGACGGAGCAACGCCGCGUGAGUGAUGAAGGUCUUCGGAUCGUAAAACUCUGUUAUUAGGGAAGAACAAAUGUGUAAGUAACUAUGCACGUCUUGACGGUACCUAAUCAGAAAGCCACGGCUAACUACGUGCCAGCAGCCGCGGUAAUACGUAGGUGGCAAGCGUUAUCCGGAAUUAUUGGGCGUAAAGCGCGCGUAGGCGGUUUUUUAAGUCUGAUGUGAAAGCCCACGGCUCAACCGUGGAGGGUCAUUGGAAACUGGAAAACUUGAGUGCAGAAGAGGAAAGUGGAAUUCCAUGUGUAGCGGUGAAAUGCGCAGAGAUAUGGAGGAACACCAGUGGCGAAGGCGACUUUCUGGUCUGUAACUGACGCUGAUGUGCGAAAGCGUG
rnacentral:rRNA from 1 species